rnacentral:rRNA from 1 species
CCUACGGGAGGCAGCAGUGGGGGAUAUUGCACAAUGGGGGAAACCCUGAUGCAGCGACGCCGCGUGAGUGAAGAAGUAUUUCGGUAUGUAAAGCUCCAUUAGUAGGGAAGAAAAUGACAGUACUUGACCAAGAAGCCGAGGCUAACUACGUGCCAGCAGCCGCGGUAAUACGUAGGCGGCAAGCGUUAUCCGGAUUCACUGGGUGUAAAGGGAGCGUAGGCGGUUAUGUAAGUCUGGAGUGAAAGCCGGGGGCCCAACCCCGGGACUGCUUUGGAAACUGUGUAACUGGAGUACAGGAGGGGCAGGCGGAAUUCCUGGUGUAGCGGUGAAAUGCGUAGAUAUCAAGAGGAACACCGGCGGCGAAGGCGGCCUGCUGGACUGAAACUGACGUUGAGGCACGAAAGCGUGGGGAGCAAACAGGAUUAGAUACCCUUGUAGUC